AUGUACCAUGAUGACAAAAUGGAAGCUAUUGACAAAAUAGGCGCACAAGUUACCGAUUUGAACAUAGAAGAUGGGAAAGCCAAACAAUGUGGAUCCGGUAGAAUGGCAUCUACGAAGAGCCUGCUAAAGAACCGUCAGUUGAUGUCAGCAAUAACCCUCUACUGUGUCUUCUCUCUUCAUGACACAGCUUAUCUCGAGAUAUUUUCGCUUUGGGCUGUGAGCAGUAGAAAAUAUCGGGGACUAAGUUUGACAUCUCAGGAUGUUGGCGCCGUGCUAGCUAUCUCAGGUUUUGGUGUUUUGGUGUAUCAACUUGUGAUUUAUCCACUCCUUGCCAAGUAUGCUGGGUUAAUCAAGCCAUUUCGUUCUGCAGCGGUAUUGUCUAUACUUCUGCUUACAACAUAUCCAUUCAUGGGCAGACUAUAUGGUGUGGAGCUCAAAGUACUCAUCAACAUAGCUUCACUUCUGAAGAAUAUGUUUGCGGCUACAAUUACUGUUGCGUGCAACAUUCUACAAAACACAGAAGUGAUACAAGAACAAAGGGGUGUUCCUAAUGGUAUCUCUAUGACUCUGAUGUCAAUCUUUAAAGCAGUAGCUCCAGCAGCCGGAGGAAUUUUGUUUUCAUGGGCUCAAAAGAACAUAACUGGAUUGUUCUUACCAGGUGAUCAUAUCUUGUUCUUCAUGCUGAACAUGGUGUCAGUAAUCGGGCUCUCGCUGACGUUCAAGCCAUUUUUCUCUAUGACGAGUGUGAUGAAAUGA
rnacentral:rRNA from 1 species